UACGGAGGGAGCUAGCGUUGUUCGGAAUUACUGGGCGUAAAGCGCACGUAGGCGGCUUUUUAAGUCAGGGGUGAAAUCCCGGGGCUCAACCCCGGAACUGCCCUUGAAACUGGAGAGCUAGAAUCUUGGAGAGGCGAGUGGAAUUCCGAGUGUAGAGGUGAAAUUCGUAGAUAUUCGGAAGAACACCAGUGGCGAAGGCGACUCGCUGGACAAGUAUUGACGCUGAGGUGCGAAAAGCGUGGGGAGCAAACA
rnacentral:rRNA from 1 species